CAGCCAAAUCAUGUCGAAAGCUAGUUCCUAUAUGAUCACUGAAGUUAAGUAACAUUGAGCCUGGUCAGUACUUAGAUGGGUGACUGCUUGGAAAUACCAAGUGCUGUAA